rnacentral:rRNA from 1 species
AACUAACGCUGGCGGCGUGCCUAACACAUGCAAGUCGUACGAGAAAGUUGGCUUCGGCUGAUGAGUAAAGUGGCGCACGGGUGAGUAACGCGUGGAUAAUCUGCCUUUUAGUUGGGAAUAACGUACCGAAAGGUGCGCUAAUACCGGAUAAUACUGCAUAACUACUGUUGUGUAGUCAAAGAAGGCCUCUGUUUACAAGCUUUUGCUGAAAGAUGAGUCCGCGUACCAUUAGCUAGUUGGUAGGGUAAUGGCCUACCAAGGCUACGAUGGUUAGCUGGUCUGAGAGGAUGAUCAGCCACACUGGAACUGAGACACGGUCCAGACUCCUACGGGAGGCAGCAGUGAGGAAUAUUGCGCAAUGGGGGCAACCCUGACGCAGCAACGCCGCGUGAGUGAGGAAGGUUUUCGGACCGUAAAGCUCUGUCGAGCGGGAAGAAAUGUAUCGUGGCUAAUAUCCAUGAUAUUUGACGGUACCGCUAAAGGAAGCACCGG